rnacentral:rRNA from 1 species
GACGAACGCUGGCGGCGUGCUUAACACAUGCGAGUCGAACGGAAAGGCCCUGCUUUUGUGGGGUGCUCGAGUGGCGAACGGGUGAGUAACACGUGAGUAACCUGCCCUUGACUUUGGGAUAACUUCAGGAAACUGGGGCUAAUACCGGAUAGGAGCUCCUGCUGCAUGGUGGGGGUUGGAAAGUUUCGGCGGUUGGGGAUGGACUCGCGGCUUAUCAGCUUGUUGGUGGGGUAGUGGCUUACCAAGGCUUUGACGGGUAGCCGGCCUGAGAGGGUGACCGGCCACAUUGGGACUGAGAUACGGCCCAGACUCCUACGGGAGGCAGCAGUGGGGAAUAUUGCACAAUGGGCGGAAGCCUGAUGCAGCAACGACGCGUGCGGGAUGACGGCCUUCGGGUUGUAAACCGCUUUCGCCUGUGACGAAGCGUGAGUGACGGUAAUGGGUAAAGAAGCACCGGCUAACUACGUG